rnacentral:rRNA from 1 species
UACAGAGGUCUCAAGCGUUGUUCGGAUUCAUUGGGCGUAAAGGGUGCGUAGGUGGUGCUGUAAGUCAGGUGGGAAAUCUCGGGGCUCAACCCCGAAACUGCACUUGAUACUGCGGUGCUUGAGGACUGGAGAGGAGAUCGGAAUUCAUGGUGUAGCAGUGAAAUGCGUAGAUAUCAUGAGGAAGACCAGUGGCGAAGGCGGAUCUCUGGACAGUUCCUGACACUGAGGCACGAAGGCCAGGGGAGCAAACGGG